rfam:Stegodyphus mimosarum contig19951, whole genome shotgun sequence.
GCGUUCGUGGUGUAGUGGUCAGCACGCUCGACGCGUAUUCAGCAGGUCCGUGGUUCGAAUCCCGGCGAGGGCA